GAUGAAGAACGUAGCGAAAUGCGAUAAGUAAUGCGAAUUGCAGAAUUCAGUGAAUCAUCGAGUCUUUGAACGCACAUUGCGCCCCCUGGUAUUCCGGGGGGCAUGCCUGUCCGAGCGUCAUUGCUGCCCUCAAGCACGGCUUGUGUGUUGGGCCUCCGUCCUCCUCCCGGGGGACGGGCCCGAAAGGCAGCGGCGGCACCGCGUCCGGUCCUCGAGCGUAUGGGGCUUCGUCACCCGCUCUUGUAGGCCCGGCCGGCGCUUGCCGACACAUCAAUCUUUUUUCCAGGUUGACCUCGGAUCAGGUAGGGAUACCCGCUGAACUUAAGCAUAUCAAUAAGCGGAGGA
rnacentral:misc_RNA from 1 species